GCAAGUUAUGUCUAGAUGUUGAACACAGGCUCUGUACAACUGGAGUAGAAAAGAAAGACGAGAAAAGAAAGAAAAGAAAAAAGAUUGUACAUAUCAGAGAGAGCUAUUCAAGAACUAUAGAAGUAAUAGGUGUUGAAUCAGUUGUAAGCAGCUGCUGCCCAGAGGGACCCCAUCCACCAUUGAGUGUAUGAGGUUGAAAUUGCGCUUUUUUAAUUGGCAUUCUUCAAACUCGCUAUAUCACAUGACUUAGUGCGCGAGGUCGUCAUGUGCGCGAGUUCGUGGUGAAAUGCGUUACGUACGCUACACACUUAACUGUUGGGGGGAUUGGGUUGGGUGAUUCGUGCCCUCUAUGCCACCAUGGCGCUGGUGGUGAUUGAGCUCUUUUGCCCUAGUGGUCUAAUAUUAACUAACCAGUUAACUAACUAGUUACAUAUAUUAUCUAAUACACUCUCAUUCCUGCAUCAGAGGAUUAGAUUAGAUUAGGGGAUUCGAAUUAGGGUUAAGGAUUAGAGCCUUGCAAAAUAAGAAAAAUCAGCAUCAUUGAGAGGGAUCAAGAGAUGUAGUGAUGAUGUGUGGAUUUGUGUGGAGUAUACACUAGUUCAUAGAGUUUCAAUGAAGUGAGGGUUUGUCAGCUUUUUUGCAUCAUGAUGAACUUUUGCAUUGACUUUGAUAUGGUGCAAGAUUAGGACCUUACUAAGUGUAUUGAAUCUUCAGGCCACACCACCUGGGAUUUGGGCUGUGAGUUAGUGGGCAGGGGCAUUGGCUCCCUAUCCUUUUCAUUAAG
rnacentral:sRNA from 2 species